GCAAUCCUCUUAAUUUAGUUAGUUUACAUAAUUACAUUUCUGCCUCCUACUCAGCUCAAUAAUUGCACGGAUGCCCUAUCUUGAAAACCCAUCUUUGUGCCUUAAUGGAAGGGUUUAAAUUAUGCUGACCCACUAUGCUAAUAACAGUGAUCAAUAACACCACUUCUUCUCUGUUCGUUUUUGAACAACUAUCUGAGCUGUUGUGUUAUUGUCACUGUAAUUGGGAUCUACAGUAAUAAUCACCUCUUCCAGGUGUUGCAGAGAUGGGGAGAACUGUUUCUGCUGUGGCAGCUUGGGACAGUUAGAAUUUUGUUUUCUUUUUUUUUCUUUUUUUUGCCCUUCAUCAUUGUUUGAGAAAUCAGUGAGCAAUCUCCUGUUGUUCUGCAAAUAAUUCCUCGGUAGCAGCUUGAGUUUACAAACUAGUAGCUUGAGGCCAGCCAACUGGUGCCACAUGGCGACACAGGACAUCAGUGGAAGGUCACUUGUUAAUAUAUGAUGAGUAUCUGGCUUUGUAAAUCCACCUACCUGAGAUCAGUCUGCUGGUGUCAGGCCUGCGACCAACAGCAAUGCUCAGGUGCAGACUACAGUUUUGUCUUCGAGAAGCUCUGGCGUUGAGGCACUUCCAUUCGGGUAACGACGAGGCCAUCUGUGUGCUCCCUGAAAAGCUGCCACAAGUGCUCCAGCAGCUGUGUCCAUGCCGGAGCGAGAGCUGCUCAGACACAUUGCCAGUCCCAUGUAAGCUGUGAGAUGACAGCAUGUAUUCUUGGGGUUUCUUCUGUGCUAUGUGUGACAAAAUACCUUGCAAGGUCAUAUUGCUUUUUUUUUUUUUUUUAAUGUAGGCUGAACAUGUGACUGUGGAAUGUGUAACCCACUAGUGGAGAAGAAAAAAAAAACAACAAAAAAACACCUUUACUGUAUAAUUAGUAACAAAUGACUACAGGGGCCCAAGAAAAAAACAGCAAAACAUGCCAAGCUUUGGUGCCAGGAGAAUUUCUGGCACAGGGACAAUUCCCUGAGAGAAGACAACGUGAUUAAAAAAACCCACAUUUCCCUGUUUCUCCUAGACUAGGGUUUCUUCUUACAAAAUUGAGAAUACCUUGAAGACUUCAGUAGCCCAGUUUGUUGGCACGCAGACGAGCGAUGCUGCAGCAGAACUGCAC
rnacentral:lncRNA from 1 species